rnacentral:rRNA from 1 species
CGAUUGAAUGGCUCAGUGAGGCUCCGGACUGGCCCAGAGAGGUGGGCAACUACCACUCAGGGCCGGAAAGUUGUCCAAACUCGGUCAUUUAGAGGAAGUAAAAGUCGUAACAAGGUCUCCGUUGGUGAACCAGCGGAGGGAUCAUUA